AUUGAACGCUGGCGGCAGGCCUAACACAUGCAAGUCGAACGAGUGGCGGACGGGUGAGUAAUGUCUGGGAAACUGCCCGAUGGCGGGGGAUAACUACUGGAAACGGUAGCUAAUACCGCAUACCAUCGGAUGUGCCCAGAUGGGAUUAGCUCGUAGGUGGGGUAAUGGCUCACCUAGGAGACUAUCCCUAGCUGGUCUGAGAGGAUGACCAGCCACACUGGAGCUGUGACACGGUCCAGAGUCCUACGGGAGGCAGCAGUGGGGAAUAUUGCACAAUGGGCGCAAGCAUGAUGCAGCCAUGCCGCAUGUAUGAAGAAGGCCUUCGGGUUGUAAAGGACUUUCAGCGGGGAGGCGUUACCCGCAGAAGAAGCACCGGCGAACUCCGUGCGAGCAGCGGCGGUAAUAC
rnacentral:rRNA from 1 species